rnacentral:rRNA from 1 species
GGAUGAACGCUAGCGGCAGGCCUAACACAUGCAAGUCGAGGGGUAACAGGGAGCUUGCUCCGCUGACGACCGGCGCACGGGUGCGCAACGCGUAUACAAUCUGCCUUAUGCUGAGGGAUAGCCCAGAGAAAUUUGGAUUAAUACCUCAUGGUAUCGAGAGACGGCAUCGUUUUUUGAUUAAAGGUCACGGCAUAAGAUGAGUAUGCGUCCCAUUAGCUAGUUGGUGUGGUAACGGCACACCAAGGCAACGAUGGGUAGGGGUCCUGAGAGGGAGAUCCCCCACACUGGUACUGAGACACGGACCAGACUCCUACGGGAGGCAGCAGUGAGGAAUAUUGGACAAUGGGCGGAAGCCUGAUCCAGCCAUGCCGCGUGCAGGAAGACGGUCCUAUGGAUUGUAAACUGCUUUUAUACGGGAAGAAUAAGGGCUACGUGUAGCCUGGUGACGGUACCGUAAGAAUAAGGAUCGGCUAACUCCGUGCCAGCAGCCGCGGUAAUACGGAGGAUCCAAGCGUUAUCCGGAAUCAUUGGGUUUAAAGGGUCCGUAGGCGGACUAUUAAGUCAGGGGUGAAAGUCUGCAGCUCAACUGUAGAAUUGCCCUUGAUACUGGUAGUCUUGAGUUAUGGUGAAGUGGCUAGAAUAUGUAGUGUAGCGGUGAAAUGCAUAGAUAUUACAUAGAAUACCGAUUGCGAAGGCAGGUCACUAACCAUAUACUGACGCUGAUGGACGAAAGCGUGGGGAGCGAACAGGAUUAGAUACCCUGGUAGUCCACGCCGUAAACGAUGGAUACUAGCUGUUCGGACUUCGGUCUGAGCGGCCAAGCGAAAGUGAUA